rnacentral:lncRNA from 10 species
AGGAUGGUUUCUGGAUUUGUUGCGUGAGACGUGACCUACCCUCCAAUGUCUGAAGUCAUCUCUUGCCUGCCUGGAAGGCCUGCUGUAUGUUUCGGGCAUUACUGUUUAUCCUCACGUCAUAGUUUUACAUGGUCUCAUUCUGUCUCCCAGGCUGGAGUGCAAUGGCACAAUCAUGGCUCACUGCAGCUUCAACCUCCUGGGCUCAAGCAAUCCUCCCACCUCAGCCUCCAGAGCAACUGGGACUACAGGGACUUUAAGAAGCUGCUGAAGAACCCAAGAGGAAGGUGGGAGCUGUUGAUGGUGUGGAAUUAGAGGCCUGAUGGAGUGGAGAGCUUUCCUCCUCAUCACCUGGGUCAGGACCAUGGAGCUCCUUGAGCCUUGAGAUUCCAGGCCCAGGAGCACAUCAUCAUUGUGCUUCUUGGGGCCCAGGCGCAUCUCCUAAGAACUUGUUCUUAGACAUGUUGUGCUCAAACUUGUGGCAUCAUAGCAGUAAUAGUUUACAAUAUACCUACAGUUUCCUGGGCAGAUCAUCGUGUGCAGACCGGCUGCAGAGAGAAGGGAACUGUUUCACUUUCAUCUUCCUGGGCCAUUUCCAGAUAUGAAUUGCAGAGACAUAUUUCAAUAUAUCCUCACCCAAAUAUGCUUUAGAAGUACAUUUCUUUUAAUGUAAUAAGAUUUAUGUCCUUUGUGUUUGUUUAGAGGGUAAAUCUGGAUUUGUAUUUUUAGAAGUUACUUUCACCAAAGAAAUUCGAAAGAAAUAGUGUUUCAGAAAAAUCAAAACAAGCCAUAGAAAUCUAAUAUGUUUCAGAUACUAUAUUGGGCUGCAUGAAGACUAAAUCCAUAAUAUGUAUGAAUAAUGUAUUCUAAAGUAAAUAUCAUAUUUUGUCAAAUUA